GUGAGGUUGACGAGACAACGGCGGGUUUGCAGAGCUCAGUGGCCUGAGGCGGCUGGAUUUGGGGGGGUGCCGGAGCCGGAGGUGGAGCGGGGCGGCGUGUGGCCGGGGCCAUGACGGGCAAUGCUGGGGAGUGGUGCCUCAUGGAAAGCGACCCCGGGGUCUUCACCGAGCUCAUUAAAGGAUUCGGUUGCCGAGGAGCCCAAGUAGAAGAAAUAUGGAGUUUAGAGCCUGAGAAUUUUGAAAAAUUAAAGCCAGUUCAUGGGUUGAUUUUUCUUUUCAAGUGGCAGCCAGGAGAAGAACCAGCAGGCUCUGUGGUUCAGGACUCCAGACUUGACACGAUAUUUUUUGCCAAGCAGGUAAUUAAUAAUGCUUGUGCUACUCAAGCCAUAGUAAGUGUGUUAUUGAACUGUACCCAUCAAGAUGUCCAUUUAGGAGACACAUUAUCAGAGUUUAAAGAAUUUUCACAAAGCUUUGAUGCAGCUAUGAAAGGUUUGGCACUGAGUAAUUCGGAUGUGAUUCGACAAGUACACAACAGUUUCGCCAGACAGCAAAUGUUUGAAUUUGACGCAAAGACAUCAGCAAAAGAAGAAGAUGCUUUUCACUUUGUCAGUUAUGUUCCUGUUAAUGGAAGACUGUAUGAAUUAGAUGGAUUAAGAGAAGGACCGAUUGAUUUAGGUGCAUGCAAUCAAGAUGAUUGGAUCAGCGCAGUGAGGCCAGUCAUAGAAAAAAGGAUACAAAAGUACAGUGAAGGUGAAAUUCGAUUUAACUUAAUGGCCAUCGUGUCUGACAGAAAAAUGAUAUAUGAACAGAAGAUAGCAGAGUUACAAAGACAACUUGCUGAGGAGGAACCCAUGGAUACAGAUCAGGGUAAUAACAUGUUAAGUGCUAUUCAGUCAGAGGUUGCCAAAAAUCAGAUGCUUAUUGAAGAAGAAGUACAGAAAUUAAAAAGAUAUAAGAUUGAAAAUAUCAGAAGGAAGCAUAAUUAUCUGCCGUUCAUUAUGGAAUUGUUAAAGACUUUAGCAGAACACCAGCAGUUAAUACCACUAGUAGAAAAGUAGAUUGAUUCCUGUUAAUCCUAGUAAACUUCCUGUAUAUUCAGAGAUCACUAAGAAAAGAGGCAAAAGAAAAACAGAAUGCAAAGAAAGCACAGGAAACCAAAUGAAGAAGAUGCUUUAGGAUGUGUACCCAUUUCUGCUUCUGCACUUAUUUUCAAGGAAACCAUUAAGUAUAAAGAACUUUGAGCAACAUCCUAAUCGACUCAGCGCACGUUUGGCAAUAGCCCCAGUCUGUCUCGUCUUCAGUGCAUGGAUUCAUAACCUCUCCCUGCCUGCAUCAUGUGCAUGUGGUGCAUAUUAAAUAAAAGUGGUGUUCAGAGCGCUUGCCGAAAUCCCAUUAUAUGACAUUGGAUCUGAGAACUCCUGUUGGUUCUCUGGAUAGGUAACUACCGUAAUGAACCGUAAUGAACUACCGUAAUGAAAAUGGACAAAUGAUAUUCUCUACCUGUAAUUGUUAUAAUUUUCCAAUUUUCCAGCUUGGUUAAAUGCUUAAAAUUUAUAAAUGUCAGAUCUAUUAAAUGGAGUCUCUUGUUUCUUCUCAUCA